AGAGUUUGAUCCUGGCUCAGAGCGAACGCUGGCGGCAGGCCUAACACAUGCAAGUCGAGCGCCCAGCAAUGGGAGCGGCAGACGGGUGAGUAACGCGUGGGGAUCUGCCCAAUGGUACGGAAUAACCCAGGGAAACUUGGACUAAUACCGUAUGUGCCCUUCGGGGGAAAGAUUUAUCGCCAUUGGAUGAACCCGCGUCGGAUUAGCUAGUUGGUGAGGUAAAGGCUCACCAAGGCGACGAUCCGUAGCUGGUCUGAGAGGAUGAUCAGCCACACUGGGACUGAGACACGGGCCAGACUCCUACGGGAGGCAGCAGUGGGGAAUAUUGGACAAUGGGCGCAAGCCUGAUCCAGCCAUGCCGCGUGUGUGAUGAAGGCCUUAGGGUUGUAAAGCACUUUCGCCGGUGAAGAUAAUGACGGUAACCGGAGAAGAAGCCCCGGCUAACUUCGUGCCAGCAGACGUGGGAAUACGAAGGGGGCAAGCGAUGCUCGGAAUCACUGGGCGUAAAGCGCACG
rnacentral:rRNA from 1 species